AAAAUUAUGUAUAUUAUACACCCUAAAUUUACGCUACCUAAAUGAUUUUAAUAAGUGCUGAUCGGGAUAAACUUUGUCAGAUGGAAGUCCUUGAUCGUCCGCAUCGACUAAGCUCCCCAAGUCCUGGGUGGUGCUUCGGAUGGCUUGAAAAAAAGACCUUUUCGAUAAUUUUCAAAUCAAGCCUUUUUAGACGACUCCAACAUUUAGAUGCCUAUCUGUAGAGAUCGUUAAGGACAGCCUAGGAAAAAGCAUUCUUUCAUCCUGCGGCAGGAUUUGUGGAUGCAGGUCAUUGAUCGAUUUUGGCAGGACAUAUUUUUUUCGAUCCUACGGGAUCAGGACUAUCGAUCUGCAUUCAAGGGCUUUCAAUAUCCUUCCAAAAAUAUUGCUCGAAUUUUUAUAAGGGGUUGAUCAGAAAAAUUACUAAAAAUCCCAAAAAAAAAAACAUAAAUAUCUCUAUAGCUCACCCAUUUCAAGGACAAACAGAAUGUCCUUUAGUCAUAAAGUAGUUCUUGACGACGGUCUUCGACUGACACUAACAGAUCCUGAAAUUUCAUUUGGGAAACUGAGAUACAAGGACUUUUUUGUUUAUGAAGAAGUGGCAAAUAUCUCGCGAGUCCGGAUCAGGAUGAACGGAAUAUCAUAGAACUCCAAUCAUCAUGGCCUAUCUUUGGUGCAAAGGACAUCUCGAUAGUCCUGAGGAGAGCCGAGAUAUCAAGGGUUUUGUAAUUUUCUUCAGUUUUUUUGCCACUUGGAAAAAAUUACAAGUCCAAAAAACAGUAAGGUUUUAAUAGCUCGGCCAUUUUAAGGACAAUUUGGGUCUCCCUUGGUAUCUAUGCGUAUCGAUUUAUAUCACCAAGUCCUGGAGUGUCCUUCAAAAAGCUGAAAUAAUAACAUUCCCGGAAAAUGUUGUUUUCUGCAUUUUUAGAUGAUCCCUUAGAUUUUUUGAGGCCAAUCUGUAAAGAUCGCAAAGGACAUCCUAGGAAGACAUUGCAUAUAAUGUAUAUAUGCACCUAUUUGAUGUCGGAUUGUUUUGUGGAAAUAGUACUUACCAACCAAGAUACAAUAUAACUUAGUCUCGUUCGAGCCAAAGCGUGCUAAUUUUUCUAAUUAUCUCUUUCGUAAGAAGACUUAUUGUAUCUUGGUUAUAUCUAAUUGUAAAACAAAUUUUUCGUCUUUAAACCCCAUUAAAUAUGUUUUCUUUUGGUUGA